rnacentral:lncRNA from 1 species
GCGCUCUCAUCGAAGAAAAGAGACAAAAAACACAUUUUUGGUCCAUACAUACUCGGUGGAGCUUAAACACACAGCUAGCACAAACAUGAAAAUAGUUGCAGCAUUAACAUGCUGUUUCUAUGCCCACAUAUAAGAAUACAAUUUAAGGUAGCUAUCAGCAAUGAUAGAGCCAUAGAAACCUUUCAAUACUAAUUCAUUUACAAGACAAAAUAAAAAGAAGCAAAAAAAAAGGGGGGGGGGGGGGGGGGGGGGGAUUCAACUAGGAAUUGGGAUAGAAAGUAAAAUUUGGGAAGAAAAUGUGCACAUUUCUUCCAAAGAUCACAUUUGACAUAUAACAAUAUCUAUGACUUGAUGGAAGAGAGAGAUGAUGAUGGUUCAUGGUGUGUUGGUAGGCAAAGCCGAUGAUUCUACUCUUCUAUUUCUACCUGUUGUGCAAUGGAUUUGGACCUGUGGGAACGAGUCUUUUGGCUUCUGAUAAUGUGUUGUUAUCAUAGCAAGAUAAGUGUCUCUUGCGGUUGCAUUUGUGGGCACCACCAGGUAGCACAGUACUCGUCUUCUUCUUUGUUCCAUCAAACAAAUUGCUUGCAAGGACGGUCUUCCUUGCCACAGUGUUGGACGCAAUACAAGCCCACAACAAAAGGCACAACACAAGUAUCAGCUCUGCUAUUCUCAUCUCACCAAACUAAUUAAGUUUAAUUCAGAAUUAGAGGGAGCAAAAAGAGAUAAAGAGGCACAAGACAGAUUAGAAAAGCGACGAGAAAAGGAGGGAAGGGAAGAGAGGAGUAGGAGGAAGAGCUGGUGCUGAUAUUAUUAUUAGUGAAUAAGAUGGGGAAAGAGGUGGGGUGAGGUGAGUGUAAUAAGAGGGGGUUUAUGGCUAGGAAUGGGACAUUAAGUAUGGUACCUCGGAUAUGCAGUAAAAGACUUUGAAUUUGAUACAUCACAUCUCUGUGGUCAGAAACUUCACCAAACCUCAUUAAUUGACUUCAAUUCUACUUGACAAUAUGUAGGUUAUUCAAACCAAACGGAAUUUGAACAUAAAUGAUCCAUGGGUAAAAUAUGGUGCCAAAAGCACAACAUUCUGUUCCUUAGACAGUGGCAUGGCAACCUAGCCUAACACACUCACACACACCCCUCUAAAAAACACAACUUGGGAUUGGAGAAAUUCUCCCUGGGUGGAGCUUCACCACGUGCCGCUUCACUUGAGGGCCAUACUUGAAAAGCUGACACUCAUUGAUAAAAAAAAAGGAGUUGCAGGGAAAUUAAUAAAUGGGUGGUGGGUUUAAUUUUGACUGUAGCAUACAUUGAAUUGAUCAAUGCUCUUGCUUGCUUUUGAAGCACGUCUUCGAUCUUUCUCUCUCGAAGGGGUGAGAUAGUUUUGAUUGAACGAUGGAGGUGAUAUGUUGGGUUGCAAGUUGCAAAAAAAGUUUUGGUUUUUGGUCUGUGUGGUUGUGAUACAGUACUUUACAUGGAUAAAUAUAUUAUGAGUAACAGAGACAACCUGGGAAUGGGUUAAUGACAACGCCGGAGUAAUGAAACGACAGUUGGUGCUUCAUUAAAGCCGGCCAUUUCUGUUAAAACAGCAAGCUUGGUUAGUUAGCUAUCUUGUCCAAUGCUUAUGCUAUCUCACACACCCCAUCUUCUCAGUUCUCACAUUGAAGGGGUACAGAGAAAAAGGAAAAAGGUACAGAGGUCAGCGAUAAGCGAUGUGACCCGUAAUGGGUGAGGCUGAUGAUAUCAUGAGAUAGUCUCUGUUCCCUCCCUUUCCACCUUUCCGUAGCCAAAUCUAUACCGAAG